rnacentral:rRNA from 1 species
GAUGAACGCUGGCGGCGUGCCUAAUACAUGCAAGUCGAGCGAACGGACGAGAAGUUUGCUUCGCAGUUGUUAGCGGCGGGCGGGUGAGUAACACGUGGAUCACCUACCUAUAAGACUGGGAUAACUUCGGGAAACGGGAGCUAAUACCGAAUAAUAUUUUGAACCGCAUGGUUCAAAAGUGAAAGACGGUCUUGCUGUCACUUAUAGAUGGAUCCGCGCUGCAUUAGCAAGUUGGUAGGGUAAUGGCUUACCAAGGCAACGAUGGAUAGCCGACGCGGGAGGGUGAGCGGCCACGCUGGAACUGGGACUCGGUCCAGGCUCCUACGGGUGCCAGCAGUAGCGAUUGUUCCGCAUUGGGCGAAGGCCUGACGGUGCAGCGCCGCGUGAGUGAUGAAGGUCUUCGGAUCGUAGAUCUCUGUUACUAGGGAAGAACAGAUGUGUAAGUAACUGGGCACAUCGUGACGGUACCUAAUCAGAAAGCCCCGGCUAACUACGUG